rnacentral:rRNA from 1 species
GUUUGAUCCUGGCUCAGAACGAACGCUGGCGGCAUGCCUAACACAUGCAGUCGAACGAAGCCUUCGGGCUUAGUGGCGCACGGGUGCGUAACGCGUGGGAAUCUGCCUCUUGCUUCGGAAUAACAGUUAGAAAUGACUGCUAAUACCGGAUGAUGUCUUCGGACCAAAGAUUUAUCGGCAAGAGAUGAGCCCGCGUAGGAUUAGGUAGUUGGUGGGGUAAAGGCCUACCAAGCCGACGAUCCUUAGCUGGUCUGAGAGGAUGAUCAGCCACACUGGGACUGAGACACGGCCCAGACUCCUACGGGAGGCAGCAGUGGGGAAUAUUGGACAAUGGACGAAAGUCUGAUCCAGCAAUGCCGCGUGAGUGAUGAAGGCCUUAGGGUUGUAAAGCUCUUUUACCAGGGAUGAUAAUGACAGUACCUGGAGAAUAAGCUCCGGCUAACUCCGUGCCAGCAGCCGCGGUAAUACGGAGGGAGCUAGCGUUGUUCGGAAUUACUGGGCGUAAAGCGCACGUAGGCGGUUAUUCAAGUCAGAGGUGAAAGCCCGGAGCUCAACUUCGGAACUGCCUUUGAAACUAGGUAACUAGAAUCCUGGAGAGGUGAGUGGAAUUCCGAGUGUAGAGGUGAAAUUCGUAGAUAUUCGGAAGAACACCAGUGGCGAAGGCGGCUCACUGGACAAGUAUUGACGCUGAGGUGCGAAAGCGUGGGGAGCGAACAGGAUUAGAUACCCUGGUAGUCCACGCCGUAAACGAUGAUAACUAGCUGUCCGGGCACAUGGUGCUUGGGUGGCGCAGCUAACGCAUUAAGUUAUCCGCCUGGGGAGUACGGUCGCAAGAUUAAAACUCAAAGGAAUUGACG